rnacentral:tRNA from 2 species
AGAGGCGUGGCCGAGCGACCGAAGGCGCGAGUCUUGAAAACUCGUGAGCGGUUACGCCGUCCCGUGGGUCGAAUCCCACCGCCUCGC